GUUGUCCAACAUGCGGCCCCCCAGAUGUUGCUGAACUACAACUCUCAUGAUUCCCUGGCUAUUUUUUUAAUUGAAAGAAUCAUGGGAGUUGUAGUUCAGCAACAUCUGGGGGGCCGCAGGUUGGACAGC